AUUGAACGCUGGCGGCAGGCCUAACACAUGCAAGUCGAGCGGUAGAGAGAAGCUUGCUUCUCUUGAGAGCGGCGGACGGGUGAGUAAUGCCUAGGAAUCUGCCUGGUAGUGGGGGAUAACGUUCGGAAACGGACGCUAAUACCGCAUACGUCCUACGGGAGAAAGCAGGGGACCUUCGGGCCUUGCGCUAUCAGAUGAGCCUAGGUCGGAUUAGCUAGUUGGUGGGGUAAUGGCUCACCAAGGCGACGAUCCGUAACUGGUCUGAGAGGAUGAUCAGUCACACUGGAACUGAGACACAGUCCAGACUCCUACGGGAGGCAGCAGUGGGGAAUAUUGGACAAUGGGCGAAAGCCUGAUCCAGCCAUGCCGCGUGUGUGAAGAAGGUCUUCGGAUUGUAAAGCACUUUAAGUUGGGAGGAAGGGCAGUAAAUUAAUACUUUGCUGUUUUGACGUUACCGACAGAAUAAGCACCGGCUAACUCUGUGCCAGCCGCCGCAGUAA
rnacentral:rRNA from 1 species